AUUGAACGCUGGCGGCAUGCUUUACACAUGCAAGUCGAACGGUAACAGGCCGCAAGGUGCUGACGAGUGGCGAACGGGUGAGUAAUGCAUCGGAACGUGCCCAGUCGUGGGGGAUAACGCAGCGAAAGCUGUGCUAAUACCGCAUACGAUCUACGGAUGAAAGCGGGGGACUCAGCAAUGAGCCUCGCGCGAUUGGAGCGGCCGAUGUCAGAUUAGGUAGUUGGUGGGAUAAAAGCUCACCAAGCCAACGAUCUGUAGCUGGUCUGAGAGGACGACCAGCCACACUGGGACUGAGACACGGCCCAGACUCCUACGGGAGGCAGCAGUGGGGAAUUUUGGACAAUGGGCGCAAGCCUGAUCCAGCAAUGCCGCGUGCAGGAAGAAGGCCUCGGUGUAACUGCUUUGUACGGUAACGAACGGUCUGGGUUAAUACCCUGGGCUAAUGACGGUACCGUAAGAAUAAGCACCGGCUAACUACGUGCC
rnacentral:rRNA from 1 species